rnacentral:rRNA from 1 species
CUACGUGCCAGCAGCCGCGGUCAUACGUAGGGUGCGAGCAUUAUCCGGAGUGACUGGGCGUAAAGAGUUGCGUAGGCGGUAAGUCAAGUGAAUAGUGAAACCUGGUGGCUCAACCAUACAGACUAUUAUUCAAACUGGCUUACUCGAGAGUGGUAGAGGUAACUGGAAUUUCUUGUGUAGGAGUGAAAUCCGUAGAUAUAAGAAGGAACACCAAUGGCGUAGGCAGGUUACUGGACCAUUUCUGACGCUAAGGCACGAAAGCGUGGGGAGCGAACCGGAUUAGAUACCCUGGUAGUCCACGCCGUAAACGAUGAGUGCUAGGUGUUAGACCCUUUCCGGGGUUUAGUGCCGCAGCUAACGCAUUAAGCACUCCGCCUGGGGAGUACGACCGCAAGGUUGAAACUCAAAGGAAUUGACGGGGGCCCGCACAAGCGGUGGAGCAUGUGGUUUAAUUCGAAGCAACGCGAAGAACCUUACCAGGUCUUGACAUCCCUCUGACCGCUCUAGAGAUAGAGUUUUC